rnacentral:lncRNA from 1 species
GGGGGGAGGGGCCUCGGGGAAGAAGGAAAGAAAGUCAAGGGGGGUUUUGAGGUGUCAGCGACUCAAAUGAAUAGUGGCGCAAGGGUAUAAGUUGAAGGAUUGGUUUAGGAAAAGCCCAGGGUCCUUGGUGUAAACUGAUUUUCUAGAAAACCUUUGUAUUAUUUCUAAUUUAAAUACAAACAGAGCUUGUAAAAUUCAUAACUUCAGUUUUAUUUGACCAAAUGGGGUCAAACCAAUUUUGUCUGACUCUAAAUAAUGUGAACUACUUAGGAAAAAUACAAAACCCCCUUAGUAUUACAGAAGAAUUUAAAGUUUGGAAUUGAAUAUUGAUUUGGCCAAAAGCUAAAUAAUAAAGGGAAAAAUAGUUACACUGUUAGACUGAGGUUAAGAAAAAUCAGAGAAGUACUUAACCCCUCCUUACUCUGUUUAAAAAUGACACACCCCUUAGUACACCAAUUAAGGAAGGGUUUACCAUUUAAACUCAUUCUUGGCUCAAAGUUAAGGAAAAUAGAAAAGGUAACUUAAAAUGAGAACCAGGAGGCAACCAUAUUUUUACUAGCUCACCUAUUUAGUAUAGUUUACUGUAAAAUUUUGUUAGACCCUUGGUUAGUACAAAAGAAAUGAAAUACCUUUUAUUUCAUGAAAACAAUGAAAACUUAGAAAAACCUUAGAAAAAUAAUUCUAAAGAGAACCCACCCCAAACCUUGGGAUAACUAAUAAUAUGUUACUAUAAAAGUAAGAAAAAUGUAAGUUCUGUUGUUUGAUAUUUUUCAAAUGGCAAGCUAGUUAUAAGGGUCUUUUUGGCAUUAAACUUUAGAAAAUCAUAACUAAAUAACCACUAAGUAACCCUCUAUGAUUUUUGGCACAGAAGCAUGUGAUUACCCAUAGAUGCCAGCAAAAAUAACUCUUAGUACAGAACCCGCACCUAGAUAAGAGUUGUAGUGCAAAGUGACCCCUCUGCCCCAGCUUUUGUUAUUUUUGUCCAGGGCUUAUCUUAAUUAUUUUUUACCCCAAAUUUAAAGGACAGACUACAGUGACCAAUAUUAACCCCCUGUAAUUUUUGUAGAAUUUUUGAAAAUUUUGAAUUCACUGUUGUAGUUCAAACCCACCUUAAAAGCAUAAAUAGAAAAAGGGAAAAGAGGAAUUAGUAGUGGAGAUAAAUGUUACCCUAAGCAACCCAGCAAAGCCCCCCGAGUACCUACUAAAACCUUAAAGAACAAUCCAAGUCUUAAUCCACUACGUUUACCUCUAAGCAAAACCUCAAACCUAGGUUGCUAAGCAAAAACCACUAAGAGCUUCUUAUAACAAGAAAACCUGAGAUAUCAACUAACUUAGUUUCUCGUCACUAUGCAUAAUGGUUACUAAAUUCUGCAUAUCAUAGCAUACAUCUAUCUUAUUCAUUUCAUUCGAUAGAUUGCAACCUCACUGACGGAGAGUACAUCCUCGUGCCGGAGCAAGGAGUUGCUCAGGAGGUAGCCCAGGAUCUAGCACUAGAGCCUACCCUCGAGGAUCUGCCUACCCUAGCUUUGGAAGGCAAGCCCCGGUUUUAUGCAUAACCGUUUAUAUAUGCUAUUUUACUACACUUAAUGUUUGUAGGUUUGUACUGUGCACUUAAGUGUAGGAGUUGACUGAAACCCUAGUUGCAUGAACUCAAGAAUCCUUUUGAGAUGGAUACUAGUAUGCUAGGUCGAGUAGCUGCCUUACUAAUUAGGGAUCUCGGUCGAAGUCGAGUGAUUUUUCUAGCACUCGCGCGAGGUCAGGAAUUGGUUGUAUCCACUUUCUUAUCAUAAUGAUGUUGGACUGUGGACAACAAUCCAUGGGGAUUGGUUGUCUACGGGAUGGAAAUUGGAAUAAGGAUUAUGGUGUGGUACCGUGAGUCAAGCAUUUGAACGUACUAAGCACAUGCCGAGAAAUAUGGUAAAUCGGUAAGCCUAGUACCUAAGUGAACCUGCCCGCAGACUUUGCCCCUCAUGCGACCUGAGACGUGGUCUCCCAUUCUAGUUAUGGUGGGUACAAGUGCGGUCACUGCACGAUGGCAGUCAGGGUCAGUGAGGCAUUGUACGCCAAGGCGGUGAGCCCUGAUCUGUUGCUAGGGAAUCGAUGGGGAUGGUUGAUGUGUGUGGGGACGGAGUGUCUCGCCACGUCGUGUGUUUAGGUUUGCCUUGCAAGGUUUCAAAACUCGAUUCGAAUCAUCUGCUUCUCGCAGCUAAUGAGACUGCUUGAUCCAUGCUGCUACAUUGAGUAACAAGUGGAAAUGUGUUGUUUUGGAAAAAGAUGUUGAUUGCUAAAAAUGAUUGCUACCAGUAUGAUUAGAUAGGGAUAUAUCUAGUCUUAAGAGAGUCACACUAAAACUUGAAAAGCAAAAACUUGAUCUUAGACUGAGCUAGUGCUUUUGGCAAACCAAACCCCUUAGCCAAACAGCUGCAUGUUUAGAGGUAGAGGAGUAGACUCCUCACACCGGGUAAGUCUAGCUGAGUAUUAGUAUACUCAGCCUUGCUUGUGGCAUAAUUUUACAGGUUCUCUGGAGGACAUGGUUGCUGGAGUGACUUGGCCGUCCACCUUGCCACCGGGUUGGACAGUCGAGUGGGACCCUACCUCGGCGGAGGAGGAGCAUGAGGAGUGAUGGGACAGGCUUCCCCAAUCCUCCGUUUAUUUAUCGUUAGUUUUAUUCUGCUACAUUCCGAACAAUGAUCACUACUUUUGCUAAAACUCCGAUGAUGUUGUAAUAAAUUUAAUACUCCUUAAUGUAUGGUUCUAUGCUUUAUUGUAUUUGCUCUAUGCCACACCAUCGAGUGAGUAUGUGGUACUUGAUCCUGUUAGUGGCCUCGUCGGACUAGAUCUGAGGGACUGACGUGUUAUUCCUAUUUAAGUGUGGUCUAGCCUCUAAGGUGGGACUUAGGCACUUAAGUUGGAAUAAUUCGGGCGGUUCCGCCACAGCUGGUAUCGGAGCUCGUACCACCACAGAGGAAUCAAUAAACUGUAAAUACCAUCCUUUUCAAAAGUAAAACUUGUUAGAAACAAAUGUUGGAUAGAUCGUCAGGACGAUAAGGAUAGACCUAGGACGUGAAGCCUUAGGAUAAUAGAGGGGUAGCUAGGUGGCUAUGUGAGUAAGCCCUGCAGGCUGCUAUAAGGGAUGGGAGUUCUUCCGUAUUCCCUCUAAGUUGGAAUGAGGUCAUUAGGACGAGCAUGCAUGCAUCCCUACUUAAACUAUUGAUAAUUAGGUAAGAAUUUUAAUACAUGAUAAUGACAGAUUAAGUACACUCAGUGACAUUGUCGUAGCCAUAAAGAGGCCGAGCCUUGAUCCCUUGUUAUUUUAUAAUUCGUUUUCUUUUUCACUUACGCUUAACCAUACACAGAUGACUUCUCACGGAUCCUCGGACGGAGGGAACGCACAGUCCCACACGAAUGGACUUGCACGAGAGGGUUUUCCCCGUAUCUUGUGGGAGGUACUUCAAGGAGCCGGUUACAUGACGCCUCCCCAGUACGCGGUGCAGCUGUUCGAGAAGCACCGAGUGCCCCGCUGUAGGGUGAGGAUGACCCUGGAGCCUCAUCCCUUAUAGCCAGGCUGGCGUUCGUUGGACCCCGAGUCUUUCGUAUACCGGGCUGAGGAUACUAUCGAGGCCAUUGCUCUCCAUGGGCUGACUACUUUCUAUGGUUUUCACCCCUUGGAGCUAUCUACUCACCCCAUUGUUUUGUUCCCCGCUGACAAGGAGGACGACCCAAUGUGGAAAGACCGAGUGGAACAUGCCAAGGAUAUAUGGGCUCUUUACCCAGGGCAAACUGCUCACCUCACGGUGCGAUGCAUGAAUGCCCUGUAUCGUCUGCAAGUGAUGCGAGGAGAGGCAAUGUAUCAUCUGAUGGCAUUGUUGGAGGCUACCAAGAUUACCUUGGAUAACAGAGAGGAACUUGUGGUAGACCUGUCCACUGAGAUGGUGGAAAAGGACCUACAGGUGGAACAGCUGUCCAUCGAGAUCCAGGAGCUUGAGGAGCUAGUGGGAACCAGGGAGAACACCAUUGAGGUUCUCGAGGAUCAACUAAUCAACACUCAGCGGCAACUUGCGGAAGCUAACCAACAUUUGGAUAUGCACCAGCAGGAGAUCCAGGGCAUGGAGGCCAACGAGGAUGUCGACAACGAGGGAGGAGAGGAGCCGGAGCCUGCAUCCAGCUUGGACACUGCUGGCUCAGGGAGACCACCUUCCCUCGAGUCGAACGUUGCCUCGUUUGCUCACUAGGUUGCAGGGAUAGAGUUAGAAGUGUGUGGUGGUAGAACUCCUCGAAGCUAGCUUAGCUUUUGCACCCUUGGGGUACUAGGCUAGACAGAGUUGAGUCUUUUGGGUCACUGAUGUAAUCAUAACAAACUCUUUUGGAAGUUGGGAUGAUGAAUGAUGUCAGCUUUAAUUUAUGAAGAAAAGAUUUAUGCCACGUAGUAUCUUUGAUGAAUUAUGAAGAAAAUAUUGGUUUUACCCUUUCAAAUCUUUCACCACGUAUGGACCCUGACAUCUGAAGUAUAAUGUUGAGAGCAUCCUUAAAUUUUUCAGAUGGCAGGAAGAGCGCGUCGUGGACAGAAUGAGCGCAUCCCUCCACCCCCGCCACCGCCUCCUACCAUGGAGGAGUUGAUGGCUCAGCAGAAUGAGAUUCUGCGGCAGUUGGCUCAGCGACAGCCACCACCUCAGCACUAUGGUGGUGGUGAUCACCAUCAGCGUCCCCAGCAGCAGCCACUUAUCAGGAGUUCCUCAGCACUCAGCCGCCGUUGUUCACUCGGGCAGAGGAUCUGUAACACCCCAGGUGUUUAUAUUCCGCUCGACAACGAGUACGGAUUUAAGCACGUAAUAUCAGUGGAUAAAACAGAUGCUAAACUCUAAUUAUGUUCGCUAUCACGAUUUUUAUAUCGCAUAUGUGCUGUCUGUCGCGAGUGCGACAUCGUUUUUAUUUCCAUCUCUUCGGGCUCGUCCUAAAUUUUCGGGAUGUUCGGAACAUCGUUGUUCCGAAAAUUGGCGAGUCUGGUGAUUAUUUAAAAUUCACCGCUCGCGCAUAGGCGAAUUUGAAAAUAUAGCCUAGUCCUCCGAUUUCAUCCCAAAUUGAUUAAAUUGAUUCGUCUACUAAAUUAUCUGCCUUAAAUUAAAUCAAGCGCAGUCUAAAUUUGUUGAAGCUGAAAUCAGUUUGAUCCGGUCCGUGCGUUUGUCAUCUCGAUCUAAAUCUCCAAAUAUGAAUAACCGGUAAAGAUUCAUCUGAAUUCAAGAGUAUUCACCAAAUCAAAUCCUAAUUUCCGAACCAAGAAAAUCGUGCGCAAAAUGAUUAAUUGGAUUGUGUCCAGCGAAAUAUUCAAAACAGAGAAAUUUAUUCGUGUUUGGAUAGCAUAUAAAUUUGUGUUCGGUGUUAAAUUUAUAAAACAUCAUCUGUAAGGGCAUGGGCGAUAUUGUGUAAGUCUGUUUUGUUUAUAUCUCGACCAUGCUUAAAUACUAGAACUCAGAUACAUGCGUGUGUAUUUUUAUGUUAAAAAAAUGAAAAUAUCCUGCCGCCGUUUCUCUAAUCCCUUCUCACUGCCUCUCCUUAUCCAAUCACUGCAGUCCCCUUCAAUUUUUUUCCCAACAUCUACGUCUCUUCAGUUCUUCCCAGCUCUGAUCUUUUUCCAGUUGACGUCUUCUUCCUUAUCCUUUUCCUUCGGUCACCAUCAUACCCAUUCUCGAUCCCUCUAUCUCUCGCAUCCGGUGCCGUGGCUGCCAGCCCCAGCGCUCACCAACCUCAUCUUCCCUGGCUGGAUUUCCCCUCGGCUUGCCGGCGUUGCUUGGCUCCAGCUCGCCGGAGCUCCCUGCUCGUCGUGGUGGCUGCGUGUCAGGGCACCGCCGACUCCCUGUCCCAGCCAGCGAUUUCUCCAGGCCGCCGAGCUCCUUGCACGCAGCCGCGUUCCUCUGUCUGGCCACUCUCGCCCAGCCCAGCCAUCUCCUUGCUUCCCCAGGCUUCUAGCGCGUAGGGCAGUUCUCGGGUCCGAGCUCGAGCAGGUGAGCUCGCCCAUGGCCGACCAUCUUCCAUGGAGAUCGACGUUCCCCUUGUUCCUUGGUGGCUGGCACCCUGCACGACUUUUCCCCUAGCUCCAGCUGCUCGGCGCCCCUGUGCUUGCUCGCCUGGAUCUCCCAUGGCGCGCGUCCCCUUGCAAGCUCCUCGCGCUGGCCGAGUUUCCCUGCUCCCAUGGCGUUCUCCCCAGCCAUCGCCGCUUCUCUCUGCUUCCCAGCUCACGUCGCGGCUUCCUGCGCUCGGUCGCCGCGUCCCUGGCCCUCAGCUCGGAUUUUCUUCCCCAGCCGAGGUCCCUGCUCGACCGCGUUCCCCUGCCCAGCGUCGCGUUCAGCUCUGUUGCCGCGCGAGCUCGGCCCAGCUCAGAUCUCACCCAGCGCCGCGCGCCUAGCUCGGCCGUCUCUAGCUCACCUUGCUCUCGGCCGCUCGCCCGGUCGAGCUCCCUGACCGCCACGCCGUGAAUUUUUCCUGCGCGCGCGUGUCUCCUUGCGCACGCGUCGCCGCCGAGUUCUCUUCCGCGCGCUGCUCCUCUUCCUUCGGCCAAAGAUGAUGAAAACGUAAACUCACAACCAUUUAUAGGGGUGAAAACGGGCGGAUACGGACGGAUAUUAGCUCAUCCUGUAUCCUACCCUAAUGUAUUUAAAACGGAUUCGGGAUCGGAUACGGAUAGUUAGAAACGGGACGGAUACGGAUACAGAGACCGGAUAUUUAUCCGAGCGGAUAAGUGACGGAUACGGAUAUUAUUUGAUCGGAUAUCGGAUACUUGUCGGAUAAUGCAUUAAUUGGUUAUCAAAAAAUAUUCUUGUUCGACACGAAAUUGCAAGUAAAUUAAUACUAAUAAACAUUUAAUAGAAGAUAAUCUCAAGUUCCCACGUAAAAAUGGUAAAGCGAAGUAUUGAUUAUGUUGAAACUUGGAUACUUAGAGUGAUUUCACGUGUAACUCACGCAAUAAGUGGAAAUAAAAUAGAAGAAACAUUGACAUCCUGUGGAUUUUAUGGUCUCAUUAUUUUUUAUGACUAUAUGUGGCCAUAUGUUGUACCUUCGUAUAAUUUCAUAGAUUUCUGAGGCUAUUUAUACAUUAUUAAUUUCUUUCUACGUAAAAUCAUCAAAGUAUAAUUAAAAUUCAUAAAUACACUAGUUUUGAUCCAAAAUUGCAAAAAGCUUAACAAAACAAAUAAACAUUCUAUUCAAAUAAAACCUCAAGUCGCCACAUGAAAAUGAUAAGUUAAAUAUUAAUUAUGUUGAAACUUUGAUACAUAAAAUGAUUUCACACGUAACUCACGCAAUAAGUGGGAGUGGAAUGGAAGAAACACCAACAUCUUGUGGAUUUUAUAGUCCAAAUGUUUUUGAGAACUAUAUGUGGAUAUAUGUUGUGUCCCCGUAAAAAUUCAUGAAUUUUUUAGGCUAUUUGGUGUAUUAUUAAUUUCUUGUUGUAGAAAAUCAUAAAAAUACAAUUAAAUUCAUAAAAAUAUUGUAGCGUCGACCGGAAAUUGCAAAUAAGUUACCAAUAUUAAUAAAUAGUUUAUAAAAAGAUAAUCCUAAGUUCCCACAUGGAUAUAAUCUUAAGUCCCCACAUGAAAAUGAUAAAGUCUAUUAUUUUGAUAAAAAUUUAGACAUUAUUUCAAUUAUUUUGGCCUAAAGAUAUGUUUAAACAAAAAUGUGAUGUACUACAAAGUUAUAGAUCUCUUCGAGCUCUACAAUUUUCAUAUAAACUUUAUCUUCAUCCGAUUUCAUAUGUAAAAGUUAUGAUUUUAUAACUAUAUUAUUAUGCAGAAAAAGAAAAAACGGGUACCCGAAUUCCGGGUACCCGUAUCCGACCCGAAUAUCCGGGUAUUUACCGGGUAGUACUCGCUCCGUAUCCGACCCGAAUCCGAAGCUAUACUAUCCGGGUAUUACCCGUAUCCGUCCCGAAUCUAAAAAAUACCCGUAUCCGUAUCCGAAAAAUGGUCCCGAAUCAGUAUCCGUAUCCGGUACCCGUUUCGGGUACCCUGCCCGUUUUCACCCCUAACCAUUUAUGCGCUGGAGAGACCGUUUUGUCUUUUGUGCCGAAGCAAUUUAUAAAGCACAAGCCGAAACUGGUGAAAUCAAGGGGCAUUACUUGAAUGCGACUGCAGGUACAUGCGAAGAAAUGAUUAAGAGAGCUGUAUUUGCAAGGGAAUUAGGGGUUCCUAUUGUAAUGCAUGACUACUUAACAGGAGGAUUCACCGCAAAUACUACUUUGUCUCAUUAUUGCCGCGACAACGGCCUACUUCUUCACAUUCACCGAGCAAUGCAUGCAGUUAUUGAUAGACAGAAAAAUCAUGGUAUGCAUUUCCGUGUAUUAGCUAAAGCAUUGCGUAUGUCGGGGGGAGAUCAUAUCCACUCCGGUACAGUAGUAGGUAAGUUAGAAGGGGAACGCGAAAUAACUUUAGGUUUUGUUGAUUUAUUGCGCGAUGAUUUUAUUGAAAAAGAUCGUUCUCGCGGUAUCUUUUUCACUCAGGACUCGGUAUCCAUGCCAGGUGUUAUACCGGUGGCUUCUGGGGGUAUUCAUGUUUGGCAUAUGCCAGCUCUGACCGAAAUCUUUGGAGAUGAUUCCGUAUUACAAUUUGGUGGAGGAACUUUAGGACAUCCUUGGGGAAAUGCACCUGGUGCAGCAGCUAAUCGUGUGGCUUUAGAAGCCUGUGUACAAGCUCGUAACGAAGGGCGCGAUCUUGCUCGUGAAGGUAAUGAAAUUAUCAAAGCAGCUUGCAAAUGGAGUGCUGAACUAGCCGCAGCUUGUGAAAUAUGGAAGGAGAUCAAAUUUGAUGGUUUCAAAGCGAUGGAUACCAUAUAAAAUAAAAAAAAGCAAAAUAGAAAGAGAAAAAAUAAGUUAAGAAAUGCAGUAAUUCUUCUUUAUUCCUCUAAUUGAUUGCAAUUCAAUUCGGCUCAAUCUUUUCUAAAAAAAAGACUGAGCCGAAUUGAAAUAGAUCUUGAUACGAUCAUGAGACUUGACAAAUCGAGAUUCUUCUAUUUGCAAGAAGCUCCCUGUUCAGUUCUCCGUAGUCCACCGUUUUUGGUUCGCGUCCUGCUCGCCUUUGCUCCACACGCGUAGUGCUCCGUUAUUCCUGCGCGUGCUACCGCGAAGCUCCCUGUUCAGUUCUCCUCCGUCGCGUUGUCAUGCGCGCAAAACUGCUCGCAGUCGACACCGAGACACGCGCUGGACACGAUGCAAUGCUGCGUGUCGUGUGAUGCACAUCCUAGGUCCUCAUCGUCGCGUCGUCGUCUUCACACUGUGUGCGACCAGCAUCGUCGUUUUCCCUGUCCUGUGCUCGCGUGGCUUUUUGCUCGCCAGCACGUCCUCUCGGCCCGCUUGAUCUUCAUCCCUAUCUCGUCAUCGACCUCGCCGCGACAUAGUUCGUCCGUCGUGCUAGUCGUUGUCCCAUACUGUACCUAUUAGCUCGGAUCCUGCCCCAGCUUGUCGUCGUGUCGUUUGCCGUCAAGUCGUCAAACACGUCAUCUCCGGCUCGAUCCCCACCUCACCAGCUCGCUCCAAACACGAUCUCGUCGUCGUUCCGCAAGUCGUCAAGAAAUCCCAAGUAUCAGGUGAAGACGAAGCUAGCAGCGCGAUAUUUUCCAAGCGCUCGACAAAUUGCCUCGAUCGGAAAAUUAUUACCGAUCUCGCGGGUUCAAGUCAAAUAUUAGAACGGUGAGCUGAUCUGCUAUUUUUAUUGACUGGUUUGAUAGAUGAAUUGAUAGGUAUGUAUGCCGCGACGAUUAUUGCGCUUGUAGCUCAGACACAUAUUUAUUUGACGCUUGUAGGAAUACAGGGCUACAUGUAGCAUGGUAAUUGUAUCCCCGAUUUCGAAGUCGUCGUGUUGUAUAACUAAAUCCAGGUCUCAAGGCAUAGGUUAUGUCUAAUUAUAUUGAUACAUGUGUACAAUAGGGGUUGUCGAGGUUACAAGGGAAAAUUAAUUGUGCUUCUGUGUUGAAGUCAGUAAUUUGCUUUAAGAGUCUUAUAAUAGUAAGCCUAAGUUCGUUAAUCUUUAGGUGUAUUCUUUAGCCAAGAAAAAUAUAGUCUUUAUACAUAAUUGUAGUUCUUGUUCAAGUUAACUUCGGUUAAGCUAGAGUAACUUAAUUAUUGUGUUUAAUUGUUUAGCUGCAUCUAGCGUGUGCUUAGGAGUGAUGUACUGUGCUUCUCCAUUAAGUAAUUAAUUGUCCAUUACGUAGCAUUAUUUAAGUUGUGAUAUUCCUGUUUAUAUGCAUUCAUGUGCAUUAUGCAAAUCAUUUAGGUACGAUAAUUAAUCGCGUGAUGCGGAAGAUGAGCCAAGUCGACCCCAAGCGCGGGCUAAUCCGUAGGAUGAAGCUGAUGAACCAACCUGAAGAUGGUUAAAUCAAACAAGUGCUCGGUCGAGGAAUGAUCGUCAAGUGGACAUCGCCUAACAAACACUAACCUAGUGUUACCCAGGCAAGCCCCGGUGCAUGCAACCCCUUCCUUGUGUUUUUAAAUAAUUUUUGCACACUUUAAGUCUAGUGAAAUGUGCAUUAGGUUUAUAGGAGUUGCUUGAAACCCUUUGAUGCAUUGCCUUCCUUGAUAUCCAUACCUUUAUAGAUACUUCUGAUGAAGUAUCAAAAAUAUGAUUUACAAAAAAGCUUAGCCCUGCUUCGAUCUUGUGGAUACAGGUUGUCUUUUGCAAUACUGCCUAGCUCAGGGGUUAUCCUGAGGAAGGAUGGCUUCUACCUGCAAGAAUAUAUUUUCAUUGGGAGCAUGGUGGGAUCUUACUGCAAAGUUCCCUGUGAUGCUCUUUUCAUCCUAAGGAACACAAACAAUCCUAAGGAUGGAAGUACUUAAAUCGGAACUUGGGCUAGGAACAGGUGAAGUUCUACCCAGGUUGAUUAAGGAUUGGAUGCGUAUGUAGGCUUGAUGAUCGAGGACCCUUUAACUGGUCACAUGCCUCGUCAUAGGUAAGCUUUGCCUCGGGCAGACUAAGGCCAGAAUAAGAUAACACGUAAUGGGCGUGGAGCGGUGGCGAGAGUAGCGUGUACCCUCCGUGGC